rnacentral:tRNA from 1 species
AUUUUUCGACUCUGUAUCAUCGGUCUCGAAAACCGGAGUAGGGGCAACUCUACCGGGGGGUCAAAUCCCCCUCUCUCCGCCA